rnacentral:tRNA from 2 species
GGGGCUGUAACUCAGUGGGAGAGUGCUGCCUUUGCAAGGCAGAAGUCGAGGGUUCGAAUCCCUCCAGCUCCACCA